rnacentral:rRNA from 1 species
CGUAGGGGCGAGCGUUGUCCGGAAUUAUUGGGCGUAAAGCGCGCGCAGGCGGUCCCUUAAGUCUGAUGUGAAAGCCCACGGCUCAACCGUGGAGGGUCAUUGGAAACUGGGGGACUUGAGUGCAGAAGAGGAGAGCGGAAUUCCACGUGUAGCGGUGAAAUGCGUAGAGAUGUGGAGGAACACCAGUGGCGAAGGCGGCUCUCUGGUCUGUAACUGACGCUGAGGCGCGAAAGCGUGGGAGCAAACAGGAUU